rnacentral:rRNA from 1 species
UACGUAGGGGGCGAGCGUUGUCCGGAUUUAUUGGGCGUAAAGAGCUCGUAGGCGGCUGUUCAAGUCGAACGUGAAAACUCGGAGCUCAACUCCGAGCCUGCGUUCGAUACUGGACGGCUAGAGUCUGGUAGGGGGACCUGGAAUUCCUGGUGUAGCGGUGGAAUGCGCAGAUAUCUGGAGGAACACCGGUGGCGAAGGCGGCAUCCUGGACCAAUUCUGACGCUGAGGAGCGAAAGCCAGGGGAGCAAACGGG